GAUGAAGAACGUAGCGAAAUGCGAUAAGUAAUGUGAAUUGCAGAAUUCAGUGAAUCAUCGAAUCUUUGAACGCACAUUGCGCCCGCCAGUAUUCUGGCGGGCAUGCCUGUUCGAGCGUCAUUACAACCCUCAGGCCCCCGGGCCUGGCGUUGGGGAUCGGCGGAAGCCCCCUGCGGGCACAACGCCGUCCCCCAAAUACAGUGGCGGUCCCGCCGCAGCUUCCAUUGCGUAGUAGCUAACACCUCGCAACUGGAGAGCGGCGCGGCCACGCCGUAAAACACCCAACUUCUGAAUGUUGACCUCGAAUCAGGUAGGAAUACCCGCUGAACUUAGGCAUAUCAAUAAGCGGAGA
rnacentral:misc_RNA from 1 species